rnacentral:lncRNA from 1 species
GGCGCGAGCUUCCUGCGCCUGCUCAGCAGCCUGAGGCCGCGGCCGGGUGCCCUCCUGCCCUCCUGGCCAUCCAGGGAUUGGGUGUCAGUGGCCUGUUGCACAUUGUCACUUCUACAAGUGACUAACACCGUCAGGAUAAUCUAAAACUACGAAUACUACCUGACUCCACAAGGGUACGGUGUAUUCUCCAGUUUUAGCAUCUGCCUUAAAAAUUACCUCAGAGUUAAGCACUGCUGGGGACUUAUUUCUACUCUUGAUCACCUUUCAACGUUUAUACUAGAAUGAUGCUUCUACUGGCAGAAAGUUUUUCAGCGGGUUCCCUUUCCCUUCAUGGAAAGCUAGCAUGAUGAAAUAGCCCUUUCUGAUUUGGUCCUUGCCUACCCCAACAGACUGGAGCCCUGCAUCUACAGGCCAUAAUCUCUGUACCAGCAUUAUUGACUACACACACUAUACAGUUGCCUCUCCAUAUCUGUGGGUGCCGCAUACACUGUGGAUUCAACCAACCUGGAGUAAAAGAUAUUCAAGAAAAAAACUGCAUUUGUACUGAACAUCUACAGACUACCCCCCCAUGAUUAUUCCCUAAAUAAUAUAGUACAGCCAACUAUUUAUUUAGCAGUUAUGUUGUGUUAUUAUAAGUAAUCUAGAAAUGAUUGGAGGUCUGUGGGAGGAUUUAGGAUAUUCUUUACCAGAAUAUUGCAUCAUCUUAUAUAAGGCACCUGAGCAUGGGUGGAUUUCGGUAUCCGCGGGGGCCCUGGAACCAGUCCCCUGUGAAGACUGAGGGACGACUGUACAUGCCAUGACAUGCUCUCUUCCCAUGCUCUCCCCUGCCUUUGCGUGUACUGCUGUCUCUGUCUGGAAUGUUUUCUCCUGUCCUUUCAUAGACACAGCAGGCUCCUGCUGUUCCUUCAUGUCUCAUUUACACAUGACCUCUUCGAAAGCUUCACUGAAUUCUGUGACCUAAGCAAUUUAUCUUUUAUGAUUCAAUUGCAUUUUUGAAAUAGUUUUAUUGCAGUAUAAUUUAUGUCAUAUAGUUCAGCUAUUUGAGAUAUUCAAUUCUGUGGUUUUUAGUAUGUUUGCAAAGUUGUGCAACAAUCACCAUAAUAUAACUUUAGAACAUUCUUGUAAUCUCUAAAAGAAACCUUAUACACAUUACCAGUAACUCUCCAUUUCCCCUCAUAGUCUUGGCAGCCCUUGGCAACAACUGACCUAUUUUCUACCUCUCUAUAUUUGCUUAUUGUGGACAUUUCUUUUUGUUCUUUCUUUGUUUCUUUUCUUUCUUUUUUUGAGAUGGGGUCUUGCUCUGUUGCCUAGGCUGGUGUACAGUGGCAUGAUCAUAGCUCACUGCAACCUUGGACUCCUGGCCUCAAGAAAUUCUCCCACCUCCCAAAGUGCUGGGAUUACAGGUGUGAACCACCAUGGCCAGCUUGGACAUUACAUGUAAAUAGAAUCAUGAUCUUUUGUGACUGACUUCUUUCACUGAAGAUAAUGUUUCCAAGGUUCAUCGAUGUUGUAACAUGUAUCAGUACUUCACUCCUUUUUAUGGCCAAAUAAUAUUCCAUUGUAUGGCUAUAGCACAUCUUAUUCAUCAGUUGAUGAACAUUUGUGUACAAGUUUUUGUUUGAACUCAAUUCCUUUGGGUAUAUACCUAGCAGUGGAAUUGCUGAUCAUAAGGCAACUUUAUGUUUGACGUUUUGAGGAACUCUCACACUAAUUUCCAAAGUGAAUGCACUAUUUCCCAUCCUAUUAGCAAUGUGUAGAGGUUCCAAUUUCUUCCCAUCCUUGCCAAUACUUUUAUUUUCUGUCUUUUAAUCUUAUCUGUCCUAGUGGGUGUGAAGUAAUAUCUCAUUGUGAUUUUGCUUUGCAUUUCCCUGAGCACUAAUGAUAUUGACUACUAGCCUUAUCAGGUGCUCAGAAGCCAUCUGUAUAUCUUUUUUUGUAGAAAUGUCUAUUCAAAUCCUUUAUCAUUUCUAAGUUGGAUUAAUUUUUUAAAGUUUAUUGAGUUGUAAGGGUUUAAAAAUAUCUAUUCUAUAUGUC